GAGGGUCCUGCCGGCGCGCGGGCGUGUUCAUCAGUCGCUGUUUGGGACGCUGGGCGUGCGGUGUUCUGUCUCCGCUCCCGUUUCGCUGUCACAACCCGUUCUUUCCCGGAGCCCGGGACAGGCUGGGCGCGCGCCCGUGUGAGUGAGCGGGACUCAGGGCAGAAGUGUCCCCUCACUGCGUUUUUUUUUCCCUUUUAUCCAAAGAACGGGGCAGUUAGCACGCUUGCCGUCCUGUCGCCCGGUUGGGAGCGGGGUUGGUUUGCGGAGUGGUUCGCCUUUUUUUCUUUAGAACUUGUGAGCCCUUUUUUUCUUCCCUUUUUCUUUUUUUAGGCUCAGUGCUGUCCGGGCUGGUUUCCCCGGUCCCUGACUAACCGCUUUCUGCCCCUUCUGUCGCCACCCCUGCCCAAGGUCGCCCCUCUGCCCUCGCCCCUGUCCCGGGAGGGUGGGAAGCUUUGACCCCGCCCUGCCCACUCGCGUCUCCGCAGCCGUAGCCGCACCUGCCCCAAUAUGAAUAGGGUCAACGACCCACUUAUUUUUAUAAGAGAUAUUAAGCCCGGAAUGAAAAACUUAAAUGUCGUCUUUAUUGUCCUGGAGAUAGGACGCGUGACCAAAACCAAAGACGGCCAUGAAGUGAGAUCGUGCAAAGUAGCAGAUAAAACGGGCAGCAUCACUAUUUCCGUGUGGGAUGAGAUCGGAGGUCUUAUACAGCCAGGGGAUAUUAUUCGGUUGACCAGAGGGUAUGCAUCCAUGUGGAAAGGAUGUCUGACACUUUAUACUGGAAGGGGUGGUGAACUUCAAAAAAUUGGGGAUCUAGGUGCGGUGCAGGCAGCCGCAAUGCGAGAUUCCAUACACUACUACCCUGGUAAUGAUCUCCACCCUGACCUGGAGGAGCCAUCCUCUCUAGGGGUGUAAGAUUUUGUAUGGUUUAUUCAGAAGUGCCAAAUUUCAGUGAACCCAACCCAGAUUAUCGAGGACAGCAGAACAAAGGGGCACAGAGUGAACAGAAGAAUAAUUCCACGAAUAAUAAUAUGGGUACAGGUACAUUUGGACCAGUGGGAAAUGGUGUUCACACUGGCCCUGAAUCAAGGGGACACCAGUUUUCACAUGCUGGCAGAAGCAAUGGCCGGGGACCUAUAAAUCCACAACUACAAGGAACCGCUAGUAAUCAAACAGUGAUGACCACAAUCAGUAAUGGCAGGGACCCUCGGAGAGCCUUUAAAAGAUGACCUAUGCUAAAUACUCACGUGUAGUUUUUAUACUACAUGCCCUACUUGAACACUUACUGCACUUUUAUUUAUUGUUAACUGUGAAAAGUAUGUCCUUUAUUGGGUUUCCUUUUAUAUUCUUGGUUUGUUAAGAAGAAUGGUUUGUUUUUAUAGCAAAACUGUUAAGCUGCUCAAGUCUCCUGUUGAAGAAUGGGAACACUGAAAAGUAGGGGCAUUUAUUUUUAGAGCAAAAAGAUUAUUGGAUAGCCUCUAAAAAACCUGCACCCAUUUCAUGGGUGAGUUACAUCAGCUUUAUAGCCUCUAUGAGUCUAUCUUCUGUAUAAGUUUUGUAAUAUUUAACAUAAGGCUUAAUGGGAGAUGUUCUUUUGUCUUGUAUUCAGAUAUUGCCAACUAAAGCAGUAACUAUCAAAAAACACAAGAACUUGUCAAUGCUAGCAGUAAUUUUUGAGUGUUUGUGGCUCUCAGAAUGAUUGACUUUGUUGAGUGACUACCAUUAAGAUUUUCCAAGGACUGACUCAUCUCAAAUUUUUGUUGUAUUACCAGAAAAACAGAUUCCUUAUCAGAAUGUGGAAUAGAAUGUAAUCUAUAUUUCAACAAGUAAUUUUAAAAGAAAGCUACAUUUAUUUUAGAGUAGUGCUCCUAACAUGUAUUAUCAACUUUGUGGAUUACAUUGGAGGAAAAUUUAAAAGUGGGGCCUUGAAUAUUUAUUUUUUGCAACUACCAUGUUAAAUACUGAAGUAUAAUUUGAGAGAGUUAUAACGUUAUAAUAAACAUUGAUCUGAUCAUUUUUAAAAAAUUGUAAACAUACUGGAGGUGAGUCAAAUUGAAUUAUAUAGUAACAUGCAGUCUUAAGUCCUCGUUACUUAACAGGUACUCAGCCUGGAGUGAAAAUCCUGGGUACUAACUUUGAGAGGGGUGAGUGUGCAUGUUGUCAAAGUUUCUGAACACAGUUCAUGUAGCCUUAUUAGCAAAAGUUUUAAGAAAUAGCUCUAUCAAAGAAACAAUUACAGUUUUAUUCAGAAAUGUAAAGGUGGAAUUUAUGUACAUGUCGUAAGUGGUACCCACUUCCCCUUUUUACUGUAGGGUGGAUAAACUCUUAGGAUUUAACUCUUUGAAUAUUAUCUCUUGAAUAAAGCGUGUGUUAAUGUUAACAAAUGUACCUAAUUUUUGCUCUUUCAAUGACUUACAGUGGAGAGCCAGUACAUCUUUACUACUGUUGUAGUGAUGGUAUCAGCCUUAUGGUUACUUAGCUCUGCAUUUGUUGCUUUGUUUUUUUUCCACUUCAAAUCACAAAAUAAGUAGAUUUUGUUUUCUGAAAACUCCAUAGCAUUUGAAUACAAAAGGUUGUGCCAGUUUGUCCUACUUCAGCGUGUUUAACAAAUAUUUCAGCACACAGUAUGUGUUAGGCACUGUGUGGAAAGUGUUAAGGGUUAGAUAAAAUACCGAAUAAUCUCCACAAGUUUAUUUGUCUUCUAUAGUACUUUUGUAACUGGGGUUACAAAAAUCAUAGAAAUUUUGUUCCUUUAUUCAUAUGCAUAUUCAUGAUUAUAAUUUGGCUUUGUUUGUGAUUAAUGUUUUCUUAAGAUUUUCACAUUACAGAAUACCUCAGAAGAAGUUGUCUAAGGAUUGGGAUAGAGAGUAUGUUUCUUAAAAUUGUGGAUGUUUAGAAUUUUUAAAAAACAAAUUAGUAUAUGAUUGUUUUAUAUAAGUAAGAUAGGAGCAACACUUUAAAUUAUUUGUAGAAGGAUGUGGCAUUAAAGGUGAUUUUAAAAGAAAAGAUUUUGGAGUUUUAGAAAAUUUAAUACUGUCAGGUAUGGAAUGCUGGGCUUCCAAUCCUGGCUUCAUUGUCUCGUCACGUGUGAUGUUGGGUGAGUUUUAUUACACUUGAAAUGUCUCUAAGCCUUAGGUUCCACAACUAUGAAAACAAGUAAGUAUCAAUAUCCUUUCUAGACUUGUUUAAGAUUUCCAUGUAAGUAAUUAUAAUGACUUGCGACACAUAAUAAUGUCAUCUUAUACCCCAACAGUAGGAAAAAAAUGCAGAAUUCAGUAUGAAAGUAUUGUUACCCUUUAAUACAGUGGUCCCCAACCUUUUUGGCACCAGAGACCAGUUUCCUGGAAGACAGUUUUUCCAUGGGAUGGGGGGGAUGGUUUUGGGAUGAAACUAUUUCACUUCAGGUUAUCAGUCAUUAGUUAGAUUUGCAUAAGGAGCGUGCAACCUGAAUCCCUUGCACACGCAGUUCACAGUAGGGUUCGUGCUCCUAUGAGAAUCUAAUGCCACCACUAAUCUGACAGGAGGCGGAGCUCGGUUAGGCUCCCUCGCCUGCCACUCAGCUCCUGCUGGGUAUUCCUGUUCCUAGCAGGCCAGAGUUGAUAUUGAUCUAGCGGUUGUGGACCCCUGUUUAACAAGUUGAGAUUAAAUGGAGAAAGACCUAAGCUUUUACUUCUGGGAUUGACACUUGCUUCAAUAAUGUAACCUUGUUCUGUGUUUUUAUCAUUUAUUAACAGAUUUCUUUUUUCUUAAGGGAAGCCUCCAAAAGCAAAGCAAAGUGAGUUACAAUCCAUAAUGAAUAUUUGCCUUACCAGCCUACUGGAACACACUCAUCAAGAAGUUAAGAGGAAGAAAGUUUUCUGCCUUCCUCCUUCCUGGUGCUCUCAGCUAUCAACUUUGAAAUAAGUUUAAACAACACCUACUGAAAACAAAAACCACUUAAUAUAAAAAUAUCCCUCACCAGAAUUGGGUCCCCCAUAUCGUUUCUACAAAACGGUUCUGGAGUGGAUCAAAGUCUCAUCAGAUCAGCUUGCCCCUUCUUGUUUGGGCAGGUUCUAGGAGAAGUUGCUCUAAUACAGAAACUGAAAGAUAAAAUCCAUAAAGCCAGAUAAUGAUAUUUAGUGGGGAAGGCUACAGUGUGCUUUCCCAUAGGCAUUUAAACACUCAGUUUUUCCUAGUGUACCAAUGCUUUAUACUUUGUCCCUAUAGCCUUUGUAAUUUUAACUUUGAUGACAGUUUAACUUGAGGAUAACCUGAAUAUGUAUAGUAGUGUUUGUCAUUUGUAUUUUUAUCAUUUAACAUUUUAAAUGAAUGUUUAAUUUGCUGGGUUGAGUAAUGCCAAGGGAAUGAUGCUAAAAACAAAUAGAUGUGAGGUUAGUAAAAGAUUGAAGUUACAAUUUAUGAUAGGAGAACUUCUAAAGUAUAGGAAAGUAGGUAAAUGGCCUUAAAUUUUCUCAGAAGGUACAAGUUUUACAUCAGUCUGCGGACAUGUAGCGCUUAACAUUUCAGUUUAGUUACUGAAAUGACAUUUUCUGGUGUCAUUAACAUACUGGCUGUUUGCUCCAAGCCAUUUUAGGCUGAGAAUGACUCUUAAGUUCUUCUAAUGAAUUUCAAAGGUUUCUAGAAACAGCAAACUGAACAUGAUAUGAAAUAGUAACAACAUGGAAUGCCCCCAAAUUCCUCUAACCUUACUGAGUUUACUUGCCCUAUUACUAUUUUUUUUUUUUUUUUUUUUAAGAUCUGUCUCUUGUCUUUGUUUUAUCCCUUACCUGAUGAAAGUCUGAACAUAUCUAGUGGAGAAAGAAGAUCACAGUUCUCUAGUAUGGGCAUUAAGAGAGGGGUACAGGUAGGGGUAGAGGUGAAAACCUGCCUCCACUGGGGUGAUAACCAGUGUGCUGAGGUUUCAGCCAGUGAUUACACUGGGUAAUUAACCAGUCCCAUAUUUCACAAAGGAGUUGUAAUGAUUAACAGUUCAGGUAUGCUUCUGAGGAAAUCUAAUUGUGACCUUUGGAAAAUAGCACUGUUAUGAAUGGUGUGGUGUUAACGCCCUGAGGGAAAAGCUAGAAAAACAUUUUACUUUUCAGGUAUAUUUAAAUUAUAUCCAAAUGUCUCACAGUUUGCUUUACUGGGGACUGCCUGGGUUUGGAAUUCAAAUACUGUAACCAAAUUACUCCAUGUUUCUGAACUAAAAUGAUCUAUUGAUGUUUCUCAAAGUAUAGAUCACAGAUAGGAAAAGAGGAAAUCAAGUCUGGUUUAUGACAAACGAUUUUCCAUGUUAACAUUAGACCCAAAGAUGUUACUAAGGGCUUUUUACUACUGUGAGAUAACCAGCAUGAUGUGAAGACACCGAACAUUUUAAGAA